GAUGAACGCUGACAGAAUGCUUAACACAUCAGCAAUUGAUUGGUGGCGGACGGGUGAGUAACGCGUAAAGAACUUGCCUCACAGGUAGGGACAACAUUUGGAAACGAAUGCUAAUACCUAAUCCUGUGAGAGAGCUUUGCGUCCCAUUAGCUAGUUGGAGAGGUAACGGCUCACCAAGGCGAUGAUGGGUAGCCGGCCUGAGAGGGUGAUCGGCCACAAGGGGACUGAGACACGGGCCUUACUGCAACGGGAGGCAGCAGUGGGAAGUAUUAGACACAGGACCAAAGUCUGAUCCAGCAAUUCUGUGUGCACGAUUAAGUUUUCGGGAAGUAAAGUGCUUUCAGUAAGGAAGCGGUACCAAAAGAAGAAGUGACGGCUAAAUACGGGCCAGCAGCCGCGGUAAUUC
rnacentral:rRNA from 1 species